rnacentral:sRNA from 1 species
UAACUGUCGCAGUCGGAAAUUGUAGUCGUCCAUUUGCGACUAUGUAACGACAAACGUCUCCCUUCAAUAAUAUAAUCGUUAAAUAGUCGUUACUAUACGAGUAUUUGCCGACUAACAUAUUUAGUCGUAAAAUAACGACUAUUUGACUACUAAUGUUCAGGUUGUCGUAUAUGUGUCGUAAAACUGUCGUGACGUAGUCGCCAAAAACGACGACUACAUCUGUUGUUGCUUUCUGUAGUCGUUGUUUGUCUGUUUUCUUGUAGUGAUAUUAUACAUGUUUUAAAAAUUACUCAUAUAUUUUGAGUAUUUGUGUAAUUACAAUUAACACUCUUGAUUAUU